rnacentral:rRNA from 1 species
AGAGUUUGAUCCUGGCUCAGAUUGAACGCUGGCGGCAUGCCUUACACAUGCAAGUCGAACGGCAGCACGGGUGCUUGCACCUGGUGGCGAGUGGCGAACGGGUGAGUAAUACAUCGGAACGUACCUUAUCGUGGGGGAUAACGCAGCGAAAGUUGCGCUAAUACCGCAUACGCCCUGAGGGGGAAAGCGGGGGACCGUAAGGCCUCGCGCGAUUAGAGCGGCCGAUGUCUGAUUAGCUUGUUGGUGAGGUAAAAGCUCACCAAGGCGAUGAUCAGUAGCUGGUCUGAGAGGACGAUCAGCCACACUGGGACUGAGACACGGCCCAGACUCCUACGGGAGGCAGCAGUGGGGAAUUUUGGACAAUGGGGGCAACCCUGAUCCAGCAAUGCCGCGUGAGUGAAGAAGGCCUUCGGGUUGUAAAGCUCUUUUGUCAGGGAAGAAACAGCAGCUCUAACACAGUCUGCGAAUGACGGUACCUGAAGAAUAAGCACCGGCUAACUACGUGCCAGCAGACGCGGUAAUACGUAGGGUGCGAGCGUUAAUCGGAAUUACUGGGCGUAAAGCGUGCGCAGGCGGUUAUACAAGACAGG